UACGGAGGAUGCAAGCGUUAUCCGGAAUGAUUGGGCGUAAAGCGUCCGCAGGUGGCUAUGUAAGUCUGCUGUUAAAGAGUGAGGCUCAACCUCAUAAAAGCAGUGGAAACUACAUGGCUAGAGUGCGUUCGGGGCAGAGGGAAUUCCUGGUGUAGCGGUGAAAUGCGUAGAUAUCAGGAAGAACACCGGUGGUGUCAGCGCUCUCGUCGGCCGCAACUGACACUGAGGGACGAAAGCUAGGGGAGCGAAUGGU
rnacentral:rRNA from 1 species